GUUGGGUAGGGGAGCGUUCUGUAAGCCUGCGAAGGUGUACUGUGAGGUAUGCUGGAGGUAUCAGAAGUGCGAAUGCUGACAUAAGUAACGAUAAUGCGGGUGAAAAACCCGCACGCCGGAAGACCAAGGGUUCCUGUCCAACGUUAAUCGGGGCAGGGUGAGUCGACCCCUAAGGCGAGGCUGAAAAGCGUAGUCGAUGGGAAACGGGUUAAUAUUCCCGUACUGGUGGUAACUGCGAUGGGGGAACGGAGAAGGCUAGGUUGUCCGGGCGACGGUCGUCCCGGUUCAAGCAUGUAGGCAGAGUGACUAGGCAAAUCCGGUCACUUAAUGCUGAGGUGUGAUGACGAGCCACUAAGGUGGUGAAGCAAUUGAUGCCCUGCUUCCAGGAAAAGCCUCUAAGCUUCAGGUUACCAACAAUCGUACCCCAAACCGACACAGGUGGUCAGGUAGAGAAUACUCAGGCGCUUGAGAGAACUCGGGUGAAGGAACUAGGCAAAAUGGUGCCGUAACUUCGGGAGAAGGCACGCUGGCGGUAAGUGAAGUCCCUUGCGGACGGAGCCGAAGCCAGUCGAAGAUACCAGCUGGCUGCAACUGUUUAUUAAAAACACAGCACUGUGCAAACACGAAAGUGGACGUAUACGGUGUGACGCCUGCCCGGUGCUGGAAGGUUAAUUGAUGGGGUUAUCCUUAGGGAGAAGCUCUUGAUCGAAGCCCCAGUAAACGGCGGCCGUAACUAUAACGGUCCUAAGGUAGCGAAAUUCCUUGUCGGGUAAGUUCCGACCUGCACGAAUGGCGUAAUGAUGGCCAGGCUGUCUCCACCCGAGACUCAGUGAAAUUGAACUCGCUGUGAAGAUGCAGUGUACCCGCGGCAAGACGGAAAGACCCCGUGAACCUUUACUAUAGCUUGACACUGAACAUUGAGCCUUGAUGUGUAGGAUAGGUGGGAGACUAUGAAGUGUGGACGCCAGUCUGCAUGGAGUCAACCUUGAAAUACCACCCUUUAACGUUUGAUGUUCUAACCUAGGCCCAUAAUCUGGGUCGGGGACCGUGUCUGGUGGGUAGUUUGACUGGGGCGGUCUCCUCCUAAAGAGUAACGGAGGAGCACGAAGGUUGGCUAAGCAUGGUCGGACAUCAUGCGGUUAGUGCAAAGGCAUAAGCCAGCUUGACUGUGAGAGUGACGGCUCGAGCAGGUACGAAAGUAGGUCUUAGUGAUCCGGUGGUUCUGAAUGGAAGGGCCAUCGCUCAACGGAUAAAAGGUACUCCGGGGAUAACAGGCUGAUACCGCCCAAGAGUUCAUAUCGACGGCGGUGUUUGGCACCUCGAUGUCGGCUCAUCACAUCCUGGGGCUGAAGUAGGUCCCAAGGGUAUGGCUGUUCGCCAUUUAAAGUGGUACGCGAGCUGGGUUUAGAACGUCGUGAGACAGUUCGGUCCCUAUCUGCCGUGGGCGUUGGAAGAUUGAGAGGGGUUGCUCCUAGUACGAGAGGACCGGAGUGAACGCACCACUGGUGUUCGGGUUGUCAUGCCAAUGGCAUUGCCCGGUAGCUAAGUGCGGAAGAGAUAACCGCUGAAAGCAUCUAAGCGGGAAACUUGCCUCAAGAUGAGUCUUCCCUGUCACCUUGAGUGACCUAAAGGAACGUUUAAGACUAAGACGUUGAUAGGCUGGGUGUGUAAGCGUAGCGAUACGUUGAGCUAACCAGUACUAAUGAACCGUGAGGCUUAACCUG
rnacentral:rRNA from 1 species